GAUGAAGAACGUAGCGAAAUGCGAUAACUAGUGUGAAUUGCAGAUUUCAGUGAAUCAUCGAGUCUUUGAACGCACAUUGCGCCCCUUGGUAUUCCAUGGGGCAUGCCUGUUCGAGCGUCAUUUGUACCUUCAAGCUUUGCUUGGUGUUGGGUGUUUGUCUCGCCUUUGCGUGUAGACUCGCCUUAAAAUAAUUGGCAGCCGGCGUAUUGAUUUCGGAGCGCAGUACAUCUCGCGCUUUGCACUCAUAACGACAGCGUCCAAAAGUACAUUUUACACUCUUGACCUCGGAUCAGGUAGGGAUACCCGCUGAACUUAAGCAUAUCAAUAAGCGGAGGA
rnacentral:misc_RNA from 1 species